UACGGAGGAUGCAAGCGUUAUCCGGGAUGAUUGGGCGUAAAGCGUCCGCAGGUGGCUAUGUAAGUCUGCUGUUAAAGAGUGAGGCUCAACCUCAUAAGAGCAGUGGAAACUACAUGGCUAGAGUGCGUUCGGGGCAGAGGGAAUUCCUGGUGUAGCGGUGAAAUGCGUAGAGAUCAGGAAGAACACCGGUGGCGAAAGCGCUCUGCUAGGCCGCAACUGACACUCAUGGACGAAAGCUAGGGGAGCGAAUGGG
rnacentral:rRNA from 1 species